GAAAACCAAGACCAAAACCAAAAAAGAGAAGGGAUGAAAGAUAAGAGUGGCUUCAAACGUGUAUGAAGCCAACCAAAUCCCUCCUCUCCCUUUCUCUCCACCCAAAACAAAACUACUGUCCCCAACUUCCCAAAUUGCCCCUCUGCAGGCCAGGAAACUCUCCACCUCCCUUCCAUCAAGGGGGAAGACUCGUAGCCAGCUCCUGUUCCCGUUUUACAUGGGGCCUUUGCUUCCUUUUGGUCAGCCUCCCGGGGGCCUUCCAUUGGCC
rnacentral:lncRNA from 1 species